rnacentral:lncRNA from 1 species
CAAGAAAAGAAAUGGUAGUAAGAUAAUAUGACAAACAAAUAGCAAGAUUGAUACAACGCAAGUGAAGCAAUAGGUAGUAAUACACAUGGAAGAAAAGGAGAAUAACAUGAUUACUAAAGGGAAAGGUUAGAAUAAAUGAAGCUACAAAAAAUAAGAAAAUACAAUAAAUGAAGCUACAAAAAAUAAAACAUGGGGCAAAGAGACAGAUAUUAUAUACCUGUUUUUGUUGUGCUAGCUUUCAUCCAUGAAAUGAAGAAAAAGAUUAAAUGUGCUUCCUUGUUAUACUUUAAACUGGCAAUUUCAGAUUUUAUCACAUAGCCACUGAUGACACCAGGAGGAGGUGGAAUUGCUAGAAUUCCUCAAUCCUUAAUCAGAGAUAUCGUGGAGAGACUGCUUUCCCAUUCCCUUAGCGGGGGGAGAAUUCGAAUUAUUUAGGCCAAUAAC